AGAGUUUGAUCCUGGCUCAGGAUGAACGCUAGCUACAGGCUUAACACAUGCAAGUCGAGCGGUUUGUGCUUUUGCACAUUCAGCGGCAGACGGGUGAGUAACACGUAUCUAACCUUCCCCUUACUUGGGCAUAGCCUCUGGAAACGGAGAUUAAUUUCCGAUGUGGUGUACAUUUCGCAUGUUUUGCGCACCAAAGAUUUAUCGGUAAGGGAUGGGGAUGCGCUCCAUUAGGUUGUAGGUAGGGUAAUGGCCUACCUAGCCUAUGAUGGAUAGGGGUUCUGAGAGGAAGGUCCCCCACAUUGGAACUGCGACACGGUCCAAACUCCUACGGGAGGCAGCAGUGAGGAAUAUUGGUCAAUGGCCGGAAGGCUGAACCAGCCAAGUAGCGUGCAGGAUGACUGCCUUAUGGGUUGUAAACUGCUUUUUUACGGGAAUAAUUAUGAUCACGUGUGAUUAUUUGCAUGUACCGUAAGAAUAAGGAUCGGCUAACUCCGUGCCAGCAGCCGCGGUAAUACGGAGGAUCCUAGUGUUAUCCGGAUUUAUUGGGUUUAAAGGGAGCGUAGGCGGGAGGUCAAGUCAGCUGUGAAAUGUAUCUGCUUAACGGGUACACUGCAGUUGAAACUGGUUUUCUUGAGUGCGUAAGAGGCAGGCGGAAUUCGUUGUGUAGCGGUGAAAUGCUUAGAUAUGACGAGGAACUCCUAUUGCGAAGGCAGCUUGCUGGGUCGUUACUGACGCUGAUGCUCGAAGGUGCGGGGAUCAAACAGGAUUAGAUACCCUGGUAGUCCGCACAGUAAACUAUGGAUACUCUCUGCCGGCGAUAUAUUGUCGGUGGCCAAGCGAAAGCGUUAAGUAUCCCACCUGGGGAGUACGUUCGCAAGAAUGAAACUCAAAUGAAUUGACGG
rnacentral:rRNA from 1 species